CCCUGAAAAAGAGAUCCAUUUUGAAUUAGGUUUCGUCGUCGUCUUCCUCUUGCACCUGUGAUUUGGACUGAUGAGAUUCCACAUACUCCAAGCGUUGUUCCGAUCCCCGUGACGUCUCAACCUACCAUUAAUUUGUUCUUUACUCCGAGUUUUCGUGAUUACUCCACUCUGCCCACUUGCAUCAUUCAAUCUACCUCUUCAUUUCCCAUUGUAAUCGGGUGAAGCUUCAGCUAUAAAUAUCGGUCCUUUUCUGUGAUGAGCAGUACAACUCAAACUAGAUCCAGAAGCAUUCUUUUUCCUUGCAACCAAUUUCGAUGGUGUCUAUGUACGCUCUCCUUGCCAAUCUGAGAGGCGGACGAUGCUCUAACGUUAUGAAAACAUCUUCAACUAUCAUUACUGAAAUUGUCGAUCUCUGUCACAUCUAUGGAGCAAAGACAGCGGAGGUGACAAACGCAGGGCUUGGAGCAGCAGAGCAUGCCCUUGGAACGGCAUGAACAGUUAUCAAGAUCAGGCAAGCUCUUAACCCAAAGAGUGCACUAAAGCCAUCAUCGCUGGCUAAAACCGCAACUAAAACGACUUCUAAAGAAAAGAAGAAGGGGAAAGAAACAAAACAUAAAACCAUUUUAAGCAUGGAAAGGAAUCUCUGUCUCUAUUACAAAAACUCACACAAAUGAAUAAAACGUCUCUUAUGUGUUUUUUUUUGUUUGGUCGCAUAAUUUGCUAGGGAAGUAAUGGUUGAAUACUCAAAGGAAGUGAUGAAAGUAGGUAAAAUGCUCUUUGAACUUAUCUCAUAAGCUCUAGGAUACACACUAAUCACCUCAAGGACAUGGAAUGCACCAAUUUAUUGCUCGCGCUCGGCCAUUACUACCAACCGUGUCUUCAGCCUAACUCUAGGCUUAACCAAACUCUCAGACAACUCUUUUCUCACGGUUCUUCUACAAGACCAUGUCGGAGGGCUUCAAGUUCUCCAUGACCAAUACUGGGUAGAUGUUCCUCCUGUCCUUGGAGCUCUUGUCGUCAACGUUGGAGACUUUCUCUAGGUUAACUAACUAACUAACCUACCUACCAUUUUGUAGCUUGAUCAAUAUUUUUAAUCAUUUUGAGCAUUUGUGCAGCUUAUUACAAACGGCAAGUUCAUAAGCGUGUUUUGGCGAAUGCAGCUGGAGCAUGUAUCUCAGUGGCAUGCUUCUUUAGUUUGUAUUUGAUGGCUAAUCCUAGAAUUUACGUACCUAUCAAAGAGCUUAUGUCUCAACAAAAACCUCCCAUUUAUAGAGACAGACACCACCAUUACAAAGUAUUCGAAGUUCUACAGAUCCAAAGGAUUCGAUGGUACCUCUGGACUAUAUUUCAAGAUCUAAGAAUGCACGUUUAAUUUAUGUUUUAAUAAGGAUACGUGGAGGCUCAUGCACGUUUAUUUUAACUAGGAUGUGUACCUGUAAUAACUUCUUGUCUAAUAAGACUGUGUUAGAGCCAGUAAUAACUUCUUGUCUAA